GAUGAACGCUGGCGGCGUGCCUAAUACAUGCAAGUCGAGCGAACGGACGAGAAGCUUGCUUCUCUGAUGUUAGCGGCGGACGGGUGAGCAACACGUGGAUAACCUACCUAUAAGACUGGGAUAACUUCGGGAAACCGGAGCUAAUACCGGAUAAUAUUUUGAACCGCAUGGUUCAAAAGUGAAAGACGGUCUUGCUGUCACUUAUAGAUGGAUCCGCGCUGCAUUAGCUAGUUGGUAAGGUAACGGCUUACCAAGGCAACGAUGCAUAGCCGACCUGAGAGGGUGAUCGGCCACACUGGAACUAAGACACGGUCCAGACUCCUACGGGAGGCAGCAGAAGGGAAUCUUCCGCAAUGGGCGAAAGCCUGACGGAGCAACGCCGCGUGAGUGAUGAAGGUCUUCGGAUCGUAAAACUCUGUUAUUAGGGAAGAACAUAUGUGUAAGUAACUGUGCACAUCUUGACGGUACCUAAUCAGAAAGCCACGGCUAACUACGUG
rnacentral:rRNA from 1 species